AUGGUCAUGGACAGAAAAGUCAGUACUGAUCAGGCAAGCCAUGGGACUGGAAAGAAACAGGAAGAUGUCUGGGUGGAGAAUUAGUGGUUCAGAAUCAAGUAUCAUGGCAGAAAUCAAAAGUCCCUUCCAAGUCACAGGUCUGGGGGCCAUGAUGUUAGCAAUGACCAUGGAAGGCAUAAAAAUGACAAAACAUCCAUAGCAACCACAAUCAAUUGAGGCUGUUUGAGGGUUGACCUCAUUGUAGGCACUCUGCUAAGUGUGUCACUUGAAUUAUCUCAGCCAGUCCUCACGACCAUCCCAUAGGAGCUUGUUAUAGAAGCACACAUGUGAACAAGGCCUGGAGAGAAGUUCAGAGGAUUGUAAAAUCUUCCAGCUGCAAGAAGGCCAAGCAGAGAUUUCAGCUCUGUCUUCUGACUCAGCCCACAGGAAAGGCCAGGCAAGAGGAGGCAUUAAAUAAAGAGCUCAGUGACACACAGAGGUGUGAACCUGAGUGAGGCGGAGGGCUCCUUGACUUAUCCUGGGGCACACAGCAGGCAAAGCCCCUGGAGGCCCCGUGGCUGCAGAGGAGCUUAGACCUCACCUGGGGCACAGUGGGGCCGGGGCCAGUAGGUCUGACGAAUGAUUGUUCUUCCAGGAACAGGGAACGGUUCUUGCUGCUGUCCUUGCCCGCUCUUCCCUGCCCUCCCCCAUGGACAGGGUCAGGAUUAGGAGGCCAGCAGACCCCAGCCUAUGCUAUGGAAGUGAGAGAAGCAACAGAGGAGCCUUGUCCAAAGGCAAAAUCUGCCACAGUGGGUAGUUUCCAACAGUGAAAUCAAACAACACAAUGGCUUGUGGAUUUUUUUUAAUAACAAAAAAAGUAUUUGGGGACCACUUGGGUGGCUCAGUCAGUUGAGUGUCUGACUCUUUGAUUUCAGCUCAGGUCAUGAUCUUACAGUUUGUGGUCUCUGUGCUGACAGUGCAGAGCCUUCUUGGGAUUCUCUCUCUCCUUCUCUCUCUCUCUGCCCCUCCUCUGCUCCCUCUCUCUCUCUCUCAAAAAUGAAUAAAUAAAAUAAACAUUUAAAAAAAAGUAUUUUCAAGAUAAAUCUCAUGUAGAAGUCAAGAAUUUACAAAAGAUGAGUAGCAGAGAGAUUCUGGUUUAAAGAGAGAUGAAGGAAUCCCAGAAUGUCCUCCUUCCACCUAUUUCCAACCUAGAUACUUUCAAGGACACUAGGGCCAUAAGCAAGGUUGGA
rnacentral:lncRNA from 1 species